UUGGCCCUGAAUUGCUGAAGCCUUUGGUUUUAAACAGGAGCCAAAAAAGUCUUUCUAUGGUCUUUUAUCCAUUUCAAAAUUUUGGAAAUGUUAUGCUCAACUCCUAAGGAAGAAUCAACU
ensembl:snoRNA